ensembl:misc_RNA
AAUUUUGUGCUCAACCUCUCAGUACCAGGGUGAAAGUGGAGACGCAAUCUCCCUUGGAAGACGUUAGUCUCCAUCUCUAACGCUCCCGAGACACGGUUCGCAAU